rfam:Strongylocentrotus purpuratus Contig20446_fixed, whole genome shotgun sequence.
CAACAAGUCCUUUUCAGGACUACACACCCCUCAAGAAAAGAAAAAU